UACAGAGGCCCCAAGCGUUACUGAGAAUCACUGGGUUUAAAGGGUGCGUAGGUGGUCCGUUAAGUUCGUUGUGAAAUCCCUGGGCUCAACCCGGAAAUUGCUCUGCAUACUGGCAGACUUGAGGGAUGCAGAGGUUUGUGGAAUUCCUGGUGUAACGGUGAAAUGUGUUGAUAUCAGGAGGAACACCCCAUGGCGAAGGCAGCAAAACUGGGCAUCAUCUGACGCUGAGGCGCGAAAAGCGUGGGGUAGCAAACAGG
rnacentral:rRNA from 1 species